UUAAAAUUAUUAUUUAUAUAAUUAUUACGGAAUGAUAGGGUAUAUUCUACAUAUUAUAUUACUAAAGCACAACAGCAGCUUGUUUACAUUUAUUGGAUAUAAUCAGGGCCGGAGUGGGACUCCUUUUCAGCCCUGGAGUUUCAAGCCUUUGACCGGCCCACCUCAGUUCACGACUGACUAUAUUAAAAUAAGGUCAUUUCCAAUUCAGUUUCUAAUUACACUAUUAAGUCUUUUUAAAGAAAACAGCUGCUUUAGAACUUCAAAUGUUCAACAACCUUACAGUUUUAUAUGUCUUAACAAUAAAAAUGAAAAAAAAAGUUAAUCUCUAGUGAGGAUCGAUCAAGGGUCAGCGGCUUGAUAACGCAACGUGCUGACCGCUAGACCACAAUGAUACUGCUAUGCUUGCAUUACCGGAAUGAUAUUUCAUCAUUCUGCAGGCUACAUUCUGCUCAUGAGGCUGCUAGACAAUAAAUAAGAAGAGUGGAGCUGCGGCAAAAUAAUGGAUAAAAAGAGUGAGGCUAUGGUCAAAUAAUUAAAUAAAUGAGAAAAGUGCGACUGCGACUGCUGCUUUCUCCGUUCGCCAUGCUGGAGUGAAACAGUCUGCGCAAAUAAAGCGCAGAGUUGGUGUCAUUGACUACAGCUCUUAUCUGAUUGGCUGAAAGGUACGAGUUACCCUGCCUCUGACAGGAAAGUCUCAAUAAUACACACACACGUAUCCAGGGGGAGUCGUACGUGAAAGAGGAUUCGCACAUUCUCAUUCAAGA
ensembl:processed_transcript